rnacentral:rRNA from 1 species
UACAGAGGGGGCAAGCGUUGUUCGGAAUUACCGGGCGUAAAGGGCGCGUAGGCGGCCUGUUAAGUCAGACGUGAAAUCCCUCGGCUCAACCGGGGAACUGCGUCUGAUACUGGCGGGCUUGAAUUCGGGAGGGGGAUGUGGAAUUCCAGGUGUAGCGGUGAAAUGCGUAGAUAUCAGGAGGAAUACCGGUGGUGUAGACGGCUCUCUGGACCGCAACUGACGCUGAGACACGAAAGCGUGGGUAGCAAACAGG